rnacentral:rRNA from 1 species
ACUCCUGCGGGAGGCAGCAGUGGGGAACAUUGGACAAUGGGCGCAAGCCUGAUCCAGCCAUGCCGCGUGAGUGAUGAAGGCCCUAGGGUUGUAAAGCUCUUUCACCGGAGAAGAUAAUGACGGUAUCCGGAGAAGAAGCCCCGGCUAACUUCGUGCCAGCAGCCGCGGUAAUACGAAGGGGGCUAGCGUUGUUCGGAAUUACUGGGCGUAAAGCGCACGUAGGCGGAUCGAUCAGUCAGGGGUGAAAUCCCAGGGCUCAACCCUGGAACUGCCUUUGAUACUGUCGAUCUGGAGUAUGGAAGAGGUGAGUGGAAUUCCGAGUGUAGAGGUGAAAUUCGUAGAUAUUCGGAGGAACACCAGUGGCGAAGGCGGCUCACUGGUCCAUUACUGACGCUGAGGUGCGAAAGCGUGGGGAGCAAACAGGAUUAGAUACCCUUGUAGUCCCAUG